AGAAUUUCCAGCUACUCCUGUUUAUUAUUAUGCCAUGUUAUGCAUUGAGAUGGGUCAAACCACUAUUGAAACCUUGGCAUGCAUAUAAAACUCUGGCUGCACAUACAUUUCAAGUAGACCGCAAUAGGGUCCAAGUCCUCUUAGAUGUCCCCAAGAGCACCUAUUUACACAGCAACUGCAUUGGUAGUUGCAAUAACAUGUGAA
rnacentral:lncRNA from 11 species